CAGUAGCCACGGGAAUACGAAGGGGGCUAGCGUUGUUCGGAUUUACUGGGCGUAAAGCGCACGUAGGCGGAUCGAUCAGUCAGGGGUGAAAUCCCAGAGCUCAACUCUGGAACUGCCUUUGAUACUGUCGAUCUGGAGUAUGGAAGAGGUGAGUGGAAUUCCGAGUGUAGAGGUGAAAUUCGUAGAUAUUCGGAGGAACACCAGUGGCGAAGGCGGCUCACUGGUCCAUUACUGACGCUGAGGUGCGAAAGCGUGGGGAGCAAACAGGAUUAGAUACCCCUGUAGUCCCUGUCUCUUAUAC
rnacentral:rRNA from 1 species